GUUAGGAUCAUUAUAAUAUUAAACUAAUGUUUUCAAUCUCGGGUUAUUAACCCAAAAUAAGACUCUCUUGGUACAAGAGUCAACAUUGGAUUUAUAAAUUCCAAUGCUGUGGAUGGGAUGAAUGAUGAAGGACACAGUGAAAAAAAAUACCACAAAACUCCUGGCAAGAGUUUAAUGUUUUCAAAUCAAGGGAUUCAUCAAGAUCCCAAGUGGUAUACGAGGGUGUGGACUCUAAAUCCCCAGAGUAUAAACUCUAGUGUUAUCAAAUGCUUGAAAAUUUAAGUUAGCUUGAGAAACUAACUUAUCAAUCAGUAAAGUGCUACAAUAAACCUUAACCAAUUAUUGUAGAUGUAAUUGUAGCAAAAAAAUUCUUUGCUUUACAGUUUGUUAAUAUUGGAGACUAAAGGUUUCGUAAUGUUAAACAUGUUAAGAAGAGAUAGAGAGAACUUGCGUUGGGUGACAUUAUCUGUAGCAGAUAGCAAGAGUAGCCCUGGCAAACUAUGAUUGCAUCUGAAAGAGUGAUGACCUGUUCUACAGAUACGGAAUUGUUGGUAACGAAAAUCAAUGGUUUUGGCUUAACAUUACAACUAAUAGCAAUGGAUAACUAGGUUCUUGCAUCGAUGAAGGACACAGUGAAAUGUGAUAUGAGUUGUGAAUUGCAGAAAUCUGUGACUCUUCGUCAUUUGAACGCAUCUGGCACCAUAGAGAUCUCUUUAUGGUAUACUUGGUUCAGCUUUAUAUAUAUCUAACUUAGUUAGUAAUUCAAAAGCAAAGUUCUGCUUUUAAGAUUAUUAUUGACAAUUUUAAGGAUGGACUAAUUUAUUGAUAGUUAGGGGUCCUUAGAAUUGUUCAAAAAAAAAGAAGGCAAGUUUAACGACUUGCCUACAAUAAAACAUAAACUGAACUCAAGUAAGGAAACCUGCUGAAUUUAAGCAUAUAACUAAGCAGAGGAAAAGAAACUAACAAGGAUUUCCUUAGUAACUGCUAGUGAAAAGGAAACAGCUCAAACUGAAUCCACAAGAUCUUAUCUUGUAGAAAUGUAGUUUGGUCAAGACAACUGGGCCUAUAUCUGUGAAAGUACUUUCUUGGAAAAGAUCACAGUGUUGGGUGAUAGUCCCAUAUCAUGGAUCGGCAAGCCAUUCCAGUUGGAUUGAUUGCGAGUCGGGUAGUUUGGGAAUGCUACCUUAAAUGGGUCGUAAAUUCGAUCUAAAGCUAAAUAUGAUGCAAGAAACCGAUAGCGAACAAGUAGCGUUAGCGAAAGUUGCAAAGAACUCUGGAGAGAGAGUUAAAGUCCUUGAAAUUGCUAUUAGGGAAGCCUAAAGAAUCGUUUAUUUAACUAGUCGAUUCAGUUGUUGAUGAGAUUAAGAUCAUGUUAAUUGGAUUGUUGUAAAAGGCAAACGGUUGCAUUUUCUUAAACUUGGUGCAAUGCAUUUCGAUAGUUAGCUCAGCAUCGAUAACAGUAAGAGAAGAGAGAGAGACAGUAUGAUACGGGUGACCUAUGACACUUGUUUACUCUUUUUGAAUUAAGUAAGGUAGCUUGCUAUCUUAUUCUUCGGGCAGUUAUCGAGGGGGUUAAAUUCCAACCGUUCAAGUUCACACGGCGUCAUAUAGGAGUUUUGAACAGGUGGUAAGUAGGGGAGACAGGCAACUGUGUUUCUUAUGAUCUGCUGACUUUGUAUUCCUUAUGAUACUUGAAUAAGAUGCUGCAAAUACAACGGUUCUUUAGGGCCCGUCUUGAAACACGGACCAAGGAGUUUUCAGUCAAGUGAGUUGGAGGGUAAUUAAAUACCUUCUGGCGCAAUGAAAGUAAAAGAUAGACCUAGUCCAUCAUUAUAAAUAGGAAAAUUAUUUCAAAUAAUUGUAACUAUUGACCGAUCUUGAAGUUCUCUGAUAGAUUCGAGUUAGAACUUGACUGAAAGACCCGAAAAGAUGGCGAACUAUGCUUGUUAAGAGAGAAGCCAGGUGAAAAUCUGGUGGAGGCUCGCAGCGAUGCUGACGUGCAAAUCGACUCGUCUGAAAUGAGUAUAGCGGCGAAAGACCAAUCGAGCCAUCUAGUAGCUGGUUCCCUU
rnacentral:misc_RNA from 1 species